CUGGAUACGGGAGACGCAGACGCGUCGGGACCGUUUCGGUCACUCAAUGCCCGACGCCGAGUCAAUGGUGAGACCGGCCCGUGAAUGA
rnacentral:ncRNA from 1 species